rnacentral:rRNA from 1 species
UACGUAGGGUGCGAGCGUUGUCCGGAAUUAUUGGGCGUAAAGGGCUCGUAGGCGGUUUGUCACGUCGGGAGUGAAAACUCGGGGCUCAACCCCGAGCCUGCUUCCGAUACGGGCAGACUAGAGGUAUGCAGGGGAGAAUGGAAUUCCUGGUGUAGCGGUGAAAUGCGCAGAUAUCAGGAGGAACACCGGUGGCGAAGGCGGUUCUCUGGGCACUACCUGACGCUGAGGAGCGAAAGUGUGGGGAGCGAACAGG